CAAUUCUGUCAUUAAUAUAAACAGGCAGGCAACGAGACAGCGCAGAAACUGUGUCUGCGGGAUGUUCACAUCAGUAUGCAGUAACGUAUAAUCUGGAGACGGGCACUGUGGUGACGUCCGUAUCCGACGCCUGACAGCGGGAGACGCCGUAGACCCGGCAGGAGAUUCGUGCACUAUAUAGCCAUCCCUGCCGCUGCUCCUGCCACUGCCCCUGCUGCCGCUGCACCAGCAGCAACCCUGAAGGAUCCAUAGCGUGUAGGGAAUUUUGCACGCAUACGAGAUGUCCCACGUGACCCUCCACGGGCCCCUCCUCUCGCACCACCACGACCUCCUUUCGGGGCGACACUAUGAGUGAAAAGUGCCACCAGCAGCAGAACUGACCAACAAAUGGCAGAGCUACCCCGCAUUUUCAGAUACCUUGGGAUACAAGGGUUCAAAAUAUUAAAUUAAAUAGUAUAAACUGUGUAACAUUUUACCAAAAAUGACAGUUGAAUAUUAAAAGUAUAUUAUACUGGA